AUGGCAGCGCGCUCCUCCGCUGAACUGUGUCUCCUGCCUGUUUAACGGCGGGGAGAAGACACUAUAUGGCAGCGCGCUCCUCCGCUGAACUGUGUCUCCUGCCUGUUUAACGGCGGGGAGAAGACACUAUAUGUCAGCGCGCUCCUCCCUCUCCCCAGCCAGGCAGCCUCAUCUGUCAACCAUUAGUUAAUCAGGGCGGGUAACGCACAAGGAGCGCAGAAAACUGGCACAGCGCGUGUGACCCAGAGGACAGCUUCACCUCUGAGAGCAGAGCAGGAGGAGGGCAAGGACCCAGGGGACCGACGGUCUCCUCCACUCUGCACUCCACUGCCAGGCUCACUCUACUCAACACCUUCUCAGGAUUGGCAGGCUGCAGUCGCGGGAUGACUCCGCCCAUUACAUCCCAAAGGACAGACUUUUCCUGCCUCAGGAUGCCAUCUAUUUGUGAAGUGCACCAGUCCCUCCUGCAGCAAGCACCCCCACAACAUGAUGCUGCCACCCCCGUGCUUCACGGUUGGGAUGGUGUUCUUCGGCUUGCAAGCCUCCCCCUCU